UACGUAGGGGGCAAGCGUUGUCCGGAAUUAUUGGGCGUAAAGAGCGCGUAGGCGGUCCGAUAAGUCGGCUGUGAAAGUCAGGGGCUCAACCCUUGAAAGCCGGCCGAUACUGUCGGACUAGAGUCCGGAAGAGGCAAGUGGAAUUCCCGGUGUAGCGGUGAAAUGCGCAGAUAUCGGGAGGAAACACCAAUGGCGAAGGCAGCUUGCUGGGACGGUACUGACGCUGAGGCGCGAAAGCGUGGGAGCAAACAGGG
rnacentral:rRNA from 1 species